rnacentral:ncRNA from 1 species
CAAAAGUUUGACUCUGGCUAAUUGUUUUCUUUUUGAUUUAAAUGCAUGUAAAUAUAAAUAAGACAAUUUUAUUUCUCUCUAAAUGAAUGAGAAAAAUUACUUGAAGUAAUUUUUUAUAAUAUCUUAAUUCUCAGCAUAUAGUAUUAGUUUUAUUAGUGGUAGCUAGAACUAGGAAAUCAUUUUAAACCUGGCUAAAAUUGUGCCAGCCGCCGCGGUUAUACUGUGAGGUUAAGUAAACAAAUUUUGGUUAAAAAGGAUUAUUGUAGCUGUUAUUGAAAUAAAAAUAAGGUAUUAGGUGUGGGUGAAAUAAGUAACUAAAAUAUUGUUUUUAUUUAGAUUAAUAUACAAGAAGUCUAAAAUUUUUAGAUAUAAAUCAGGAUUAGAUACCCUGUUAUACUUAAAUUAAAUGAAUUAAACCUGGGUAGUACAUAGUUAUAUUCUUGAAACCCAAAGAGUUUGGCGGUAUCUCAGUCUAGUUAGAGGAGCUUGUUCGGUAAUCGAUAAUCCGCGAAAAAUCUUACGCACUUUUGUAGUCAGUUUAUAUACCGUCGUUACUAGAUAAUACUAAAAAGUAAAUAAUUAUCUAAACAUAUUUAAAUAUAAUAUAUCAGAUCAAGGUGUAGCUUAUGAGUGCGAGUUGAAUGAGCUACAAUUUAGUAUAUAAAAAUGGAUAUUGUUUUUAAAUAAUCAAUUAAAGGUGGAUUUAAUAGUAAUUGUAAUUUUUAAUAAGUUAUAAUGAUAAUAGCUCUGAGAUAUGUACACAUCGCCCGUCGCUCUCACUACAAAGUGAGAUAAGUCGUAACAUAGUAGGGGUGCUGGAAAGGGCCCCUAGAAUG